UACGUAGGGUGCGAGCGUUGUCCGGAUUUAUUGGGCGUAAAGAGCUCCUAGGCGGCUUGUUGCGUCGACCGUGAAAACCCGGGGCUCAACUUCGGGCUUGCGGUCGAUACGGGCGGGCUAGAGUUCGGUAGGGGAGACUGGAAUUCCUGGUGUAGCGGUGAAAUGCGCAGAUAUCAGGAGGAACACCGGUGGCGAAGGCGGGUCUCUGGGCCGAUACUGACGCUGAGGAGCGAAAGCGUGGGGAGCGAACAGG
rnacentral:rRNA from 1 species